rnacentral:lncRNA from 1 species
GUGUGAGUGGCUUAUCCAGAAUACUGCCAUCUCGAGGAAGUUCUUGAGAUAGGUCCCGUUACUGAUCUAUGUGCUAGAGUGUCUUCUGUAAGGCUUGUUACAGGCAUGUGUGCGUAAAGGCUUCUUCUUCAUGGCCUCCCCUGACUCACUCUGUUUUGUUACAGUUUGACAUAAGUGACUCCAUUUUGGCACCAGCACCUUUCACACAUGGUAGGGAAAGAAAGGUAGGAACCCACAGAGAACAACUGAACAGAAUUCUUAAACAGAUGCCUCCAAAUUUUUACUCAAAUACGGCUUAGGGAAAACCAUCCUUCCAUCCUUGUAGGUAUCAUCAGUGUUUAUUCUCAGAAAUGUUUUAAUUCCUCCAUUCAGAAUCAGCAGACCUUCACUCUGGGUUACUCACAUAAAAGCACCACAUAGCUCAUUUCUUACUGAAAUUAGAGGGUUGCCCUCCACGAAGAGCAUUAGGGCUUAUUCGUUUAUCCAUCAGACACAGACAGCUCUUGAGGUAUCUGAAGCCUGUCUCUUCAGGUACACAAAGCAUUACAGCAUUAAGUCAGCAGAGCGAAGGACCAUGAUUUUGCAAUGAAAAUAAUAAUUUAGAAUCACAUCCUUCCUGAGAUAAUGAGCACACAAUUGCCUGGAUACCUGAAGGAAUGGAGACAGCGGCAGAAAACACUGCAGAGAGGUGGAAACAUCCGUUAAUAUUUUAAAAUCCCAUUACUGCUACCAACAAUAAUAAUGGAUGCAUAGAAAUAGAUCUGGAUUAGCUGAGCUUGAAACAGUCCAUCUCACACACACACAAAAGAAUUUCAGAUACAGUGAACCCACAUGUUGAAGCUUUCUAGUAUAAUAAAAAUUUCAACUGUUCUGUUGAAUCAUCUGCCUGAUUGGAGGCUACAGAAAAGAUGUCAUCUUAGGAGUGCUUGCUCUGAGUGAGGCUCAUCUUCAAAUCUGAAUGACCACAAGGAGAUUUGAUUAUACAUGUGAACACCUCAGAAGGCACAGCCCACCCAGAAGGCAGACAGGUCAGGCUGCUUUUUCUUCAUUGCUUGGAUUCAAUCCUCCGGGCGGCUCAGGCUCAAACAUAACUUAAGCAUGAUUAAACUUUAGAAGAAGCUGCCAGGAAGACUGUGAAAUCUUCAUGCCCAAGGAUCCCUAAAAUUAGGAGCAACAACCACUUGGCUCAGACGGUUUAUGGAGGCAAAGGUUUGGAUGGGAUUAGAGAUUUCUAAAUGUGAGUUCGUGUCCUCUGCCAGACCACCUUACUUCCACCAUUCCUCAGCAAAUCAAGAAAAACAGGAGAAAAGACAUGCCUUUCCAUAAGUUAAAUCUAUUCUGUUUUAAUUCUAUAUUAUAUCUGCUGUACAACUUCUUUUGUUUGUAACACCAUAUUGUUGCUAGUAACUGGAAAUUAAUUUUCACAUGCCUCAGCUUAGAAAAAUAAAAAGCAGCCCUGCAUCAA